ensembl:lncRNA
ACAGGCGCCCGGCGCGCGCUGCAGGUGGCAACUUGGAGGUGCCACCGCCGGCGCCGCGAGGGAGCCCGGGUCUGGCGGCCCCUUCCAGCCUCUGGGAGCCCUUUCCCGCCGCGGAGGCUGAGAUUGUAUCCGGGAGAAUCCGAAGAAAAAAGCCUCUGCGCAGGGACUUGUGAGCAGCCCUACCUCUCCUCUGCCCUUGUGCUACUUUUUUUCUUCGGGGAAGAUUGUGCUGGGGAGACGCGAAAAGGCUCCGGGAGGGACCGGAGGGGGAGGCUCCCGGUGACCCAGGUGAGGGCCGGGGCGCGGGAGCCUGCCCUUGGCUCGAGGUCGAGUAGGGAGAAUGCGAGGGGGCGAGGCUGGCCCACCGGGGGUUGUCUGCCCCGGCCCGCCUGGAAUCCACAGGGACUCCUCAUGGGCACCCGCGGCAGGGGAGGGACGGAGAAGGGCUUUAAGGUAGCCGGAGGUCUGGCACCCUGGUUGCAGCGGGCGGGGAUCACCCCAGUGCGCGCGGUUCCGGAGCCGCAGCGGGAGCCGGGCUCAGCCCCUCUGCGAACCCCCGGAGUGAGCGCGCCGGGCCGGGCGAGCCCAGAAAUCUUCAGUCCCCGCGAGCCCUGGGCGCCAGAGGACGUCAUCCCUCUCGGCCCCGCAACUCCUCCUCCACCUCUCUCGCCUCCACCCCUCCGCGCUCACGGCGUAGCCUAUUCGGAGAUUCCAUGCCUUGGCCAACGCGCGGAGUGGUUGCUGCUGUCACUCCCCUCCCUGCCCUUGCCGGAGCUGCAGCGCCCGGCGGUCCGGCUUCCCGGCCCCGGACGCCUGGCUGUUGGCAAGAGGCGAGUGGAGCGGGCCAGUUCUCUACGCGGAGGGCGAAGGGGGGCGCGGGCUCGAUCUUCAGUGCUCCCUCUAUCAUCCCCGCCCCCUGCAGUUUAAACCGCCUCCCAGGGGAGCGGAAUCUCAGAAGCCAGACCUUGCUGGCUAUGGGAAAUUGGGGGCCUUCUAGGAUGUUGCAAACCUCGGAGGAGAGGCGAGAGCCUCUGCUUCCAUCUCCAUCUUGCCGUUUCAGCCCCUGCAGUAAAGUGGACAGUGUCUCUGACCUCCGCGUCCCGGCUCGCGGCAUGGGGCCGCUGGCGUCGCUGAGUGAGUGUGUGUGUGUGAGUGCGCGCGCGUGUGUGAUCUGCCUGAGGCAGAGGCGUAGAAGCCCGCUCCCCAGGCCCGACGGAGCCACAGGGCCAGCUGCCCCUAGCCACGAGCGGCAAACAGCUGAGUGCCCGCAACUCAGAGCCGCGGGCUCCUCUCCUACGACCGCUCCAGCUCCCAACCCACUGCCCUCCCCCGCACCUAGGGACGUCCCAGGGUGAAAGUCAUCUGGCCGGAGGGUGUGGGUUCGAGGCGCUCCCAAGGCGAAUGAGGCAGGUUUCCAAAAUCCAGAGGAGCGCCCCUCGCCGAGCAUUUCAUCUUCCAGCGGCUCGGCUGAAAGGACCCGGGUUAGAGGCUGGCGGAGGUGAGGCCGCGCUCCAGGGAGGGCGCCGUGUCCCUCGGGAAGCCGAAGUUGGGGUCGCAGAGCACUCGAACUCCCUUUGGCGCGUUCUGCUUGGAAGCGGAGGAAUGAGGAACAGGCGGAGGGCGCGCUGCGCAUUUGGCCGGGUGGCUGGGGACCAGCUUUGGAAGGGUUCCCCGGCCCGGGAGAGUCGGAGAGCUCAGCGCAGGUGUGGAAGGGCAGGUCCUGGCUGCGGCGGGCUGGGGGGCCCCGGACUUGUGCAGGAAGUUGAGGUCCGGGUUCGCGCCGCGUGGUGGCAGCCCUCGAGGCCGCUGCGGAUUUCCAGGGCAGCAGCCACGCGGAGCGUUCAGCCGCCCCCUCGGCCCACCCGCGGUGGGUUUCGCUUUUCGUUCUGCCGAAGUGAAGCCUCUGCGCGGGCCAAGCCCAGGGUCCUGGGGGGCGAAAUCUUCCAGAGAUCGAGGGCGGUGUCCAAAAGAUGUGGAAAGGGAGAACUAGGGAUCUGGCUGGUUGCGCCCUGGAGCGCCAAAGAUCCCCGAGACAAGGCGAGGCUGAUGGAGGCCAGAGGUCCGGCUCCCGGCCCUUGGCGCCGCUUUCCCGAGGGGAGCGAGGCUUCCAACCAACAAUCUGGGUCCCCAGCCUAGGUUCGCGGACAGCUCCUGUGUCGUCCCCCGCGAAAUACAUCGGAUUAAGACUGGGCAGUGAGAGGGCUGGAAUCCACGAAACCAGUGAGAGUAGGAACGACUGUAAAUCCCAAAUCUGAUUCCGGUUUAAAUCUAAAUUCCAUUUGAUUAGAAACAGACUCUAAUCUGGUAGUGCAGGGUCCGGGUGCAUUUCUCCUAAUGCUGGUUACUGAAGGGCUGGGGCCAGGUUUGUCCUUCCCGAGCUGGAAUUGAGCCACGGAUGGAGGUAGGGAGGAGCAGGGAUUUGAGUGCACAGCGCUCUAUGUUCAAUUUACCAAGGGGAAGCUUUCAAGUUAGUUUGCAGAUGACCUUGCAGACCUUCUUUCCUUUCUCUUAUCUGCCACAGGCAUUUCCUUGCUGAAUCAGUUGCAUUCAGACUUUAAGUGACACCAAGGGGUUAAAGAUCCUCUCCUAUAACACUAGUUUCCAAGUAGGAGUUUUGAAUAGGGUUCCUAGAACAUUGCCUGUUCUGAGGAACAGGGAGAUAAAACUGAAAUUUUAUAACUGUAUGACCUCUCAUGCCCUUAGUGGAAGAAUCCUCCUGAGUGGCAUGUAAGUUGCUGAAAGCAGGGCUCUGUCUCUCUCAUCCUUUUCUCCCCAGGGCCUGCUAGAUAGCAGAAGUUCAACAAACGUCUCUAGACUGUACAUUGUUUACAUAUAUGUAUAAAUAUAUAUAAACUACAUAUAUGUAUAAACUGUUCGGGAUUGGUGAAAUGGCUUUAAGAAUGCAGUUAUGAUGGAAGGAAAUUUAAAAAUAACAGAAUCACAGCUGUAUAUUUCAGAACCCUCUGUGGUUCUGUCCCUUUUUAUUUUUAUUUUUAUUUUUUUAUUUAUUUUUGUCUUUUGUCUUUUUUGUUGUUGUUGUUAUUGUUGCUAUUUCUUGGGCCGCUCCCACGGCAUAUGGAGGUUCCCAGGCUAGGGGUUGAAUCGGAGCUGUAGCCACCAGCCUACGCCAGAGCCACAGCAACGCGGGAUCCGAGCCGCGUCUGCAACCUACACCACAGCUCACGGCAACGCCGGAUCCUUAACCCACUGAGCAAGGGCAGGGAUCGAACACGCAACCUCAUGGUUCCUAGUCAGAUUUGUUAACCACUGCGCCACGACGGGAACUCCUAUUUUUAUUUUUUUAAAUUUAUUUAUUUAUUUUGCUUUUUAGGGCCUCACUCUUGGCAUAUAGAGGUUCCCAGGCUGGGGUCUAAUCGGAGCUGUAACUGCCGGCCUACACCACAGCCUCAGCAACGCCAGAUCUUAGCCGCAUCUGCGACCUACACCACAGCUCAUGGCAACACUGGAUCCUUAACCCACUGAGCAAGGCCAGGGAUCAAACCCACAACCUCAUGGUUCCUAGAUAGAUUUGUUUCCGCUGAGCCAUGGUGGGAACUCUGUCCAAGGGUACUAUCCCUUUUAGAUGAAUUCAUUAUUCAGAUGUGGGGAACUCAAGGUUGACCAUGAGAAGACCUCCGCCCAUAGGUGCUAGUUGGCGAGCCAAAAAGGACACAUGAUUUUGGUUAUGCUGUAUAGACAUGUGAGAAAAUUAAGGGAUUUCAGUGCUUUGAAUGGCAGAAGCUAGGACCCCUUGACUGAAGGUGGUCCUGUGGUUUGGAUUUGGAGGAGGCGGAGGAUAACUAUAUAAGACUAAUAAGAACUUUCUUGAACCUCAGCCAGCAUAUCUGUUCCUUCUGGUGCCACCUCCUGGGCUCUAACACUCAGCCUUCCCUCUCCCCGAUAGGCCCACCAUUCUUUUAUUUAAGAGUCGUCUCAGGAAAUUCCCAUCGUGGCUCAGUGGUUAAUGAAUCCGAAUAGCAACCAUGAGGCUACAGGUUCAAUCUCUGGCCUUGCUCAGUGGGUUAAGGAUCCAGCAUUGCCAUGAACUGUGGUGUAGGUCGCAGAUGCAGCUCGGAUCUCACUUGGCUGUGGCUGUGGCAUAGACCAGUGGCUACAGCUCCCAUUAGACCCCUAGCCUGGGAAUCUCAAUAUGCUGCAGGUUCAGC